rnacentral:lncRNA from 1 species
CGGGCAGAAUCAAGGAGGUGUCUGAGAGUCACUUGUCCAGGAAAACUUCGUUCCUGAGUGGCAGCACCUGCGACCACGCUACUUCGUGAGCGCGUAGGCCCCGAGGAGGCAGGGUCUGGAUAUUUUACCCAGAGCGUUUCUUUACUGAGCACGGGGAGAAUCCUUUUCCGUGGAAAAAUUUCAGUUCUGUGGUAACUUGGUAGCUGGUGUUAGUGGAACACCUGCUAUGUGUUUGCGGAGCCCUUCUACCUGUUUUACAUAGAUUAUAUGAAAUCCUUGCACUAACCGUUAGGUAGCUGUAUUCUUAUUACCAUUUUGCAGAUGUGGGGACCGAGGGGCCUCACAACUCUGGAACUAGCCCGGGGGGUCUCCAGCCCGCAAUAGCUGGGGUCAGCUUGCUGGCAGCCUCCCGCCCCGCCGGGGUCUGCUGCCUCAGCGGUGCAAGGGAUCGGGUCCCAAAUUCAUUUGCCAAACUGAGCCAUAGUUAAUUUGCUUCUCCUUAGAACUUUCCCCACUAAACUGUGAAAUUAAAUUGGGUGAAAGUGAAGCAUAUUGUACAGAAAAGUGCAGAAAUCACAUUUCAGUGAAUUAUUACAAUGUGGGCACCCUUGUAUAACCGUUACUGAGUUUAAGAACAGAGCAUGACCAGCACCCCAGAAGCUACCCAAUUCCCUCAGUUGCUGCCUGGCUCCUCUUCGGAGGUGACUCCUUUCCUGAAUUGUACCACCAAAGGUCUCUUAUGGUUGGCGCCUUUCCUACCAGUCUCAGAUGGGAGAACCAAGUCCCUCAGAACUUCACUGCCCGAGAUCAUAAGGCACUCAGAGGGUGGACUAGAAACCAAGUUCGGUGCUCUUCCUCCUAGAGCAGGUUAUCCUCAAAAAAAGAGCUUGAAAAAUAGUGAAUUUGUAUCAAGUUCAAAUAAACAAGAAGAACAUUUUUCUAAACUAUUUGGUAAGUGA